GAUUAAUUCAACGAAACACUGAUGAAGGAAGGUGCCUGCUUAAUAACCCCAGUGAAAUGCUCUUGAAGGCUGUUGCUGAUGUUUUUUAUGCCCACAAAGGUUGCCUUGAUUCUCUGGAAAAUAUCUGUCAAGUCCAUUGCCAAAGCUGUCUGUAUUCACCUUUGAUUUGUAUUUCUCUUGGACAAAUCAACACUGUCAGUUACGCCCUCGGAAAACCCCCCACAGAAAAUCAUGGUUAUCUCACCUCUUUGUGGAGCAGUUAAUUCCCUGCUAUCAAAAGACUUGUUUGUGUUACCCUGGCAACAACUGAAAUGUCUACAGUAUGUCCUCCAAAAGCCAGAAAGGAUGAAUAGAUUGAACACCUCCAACCAGCCAAGGAUCCUCCUUGUUUGAAUUGCACUGGAGCAGAACAUGAUUACUCUGUCCUCAGGAUCAGAGGCUGGCAUGAGAACUGGGAGAAUUAAUGAAGUUGAUCAUGUUGAUUCCAGCCGUGAUGCUGGAGUUGAACAACUGAGCGAGAGUCAAAGGGUGACCUGACAGAGCGUGAAGGAGCAUGUCACACUUCACAACUUACCGCUGCCUGCCUCUCAUAACACAAUAAUAGCCUCACAAAGGAAGCGGCUGGUUUGUUUGUCCUAGUGGACCAUUGGUGGAAGCGGAGUAAUCAGGGAGGCGGAGAACUGGAAGGUUUAUCAAAAGUGGACGGCCUCCAUCUAAAACCUAGUGACAAGGAAGUAAGAGUAGAGACACAUCUUCCCACAGAACACAGACAGCAGCUCACAUACGGAGUAGCUCUGCUAAAGAAUGUACGGAGGUGGUAUUUCAGAGAAGGCUCUCAAAAAAGCCCCAGACACAGGUGGAGGAGUGCACACAGAGAGGGUGAAGGUCAUGGUGUCUGCAGGUGAGGAAAGGAGCCGGGUAUGAGUCCUAAAAGAUCUGGAUCAUCAUCGGGAAACACUCACAGAAUCCACAACACUGGCUGUGAUGGCUGAUAAGCAGUGGAGCAGUCAGGUUGAGCUUAGUCAACACCAAUGACACCAUUUGAGAAUAGAAUCUACCCAAAUAUGUUUUGAAACAGCUAUGACAGGCCAGUGAUGGCCAAUGAACUGUCAUCAUAUUUGAGUACACUAUGAAUUACAUAAUUGGAUGGAAAUACCCAGUGUAACAGCAUGGAGAGAAA